CAGUAGCCACGGGAAUACGAAGGGGGCUGGCGUUGUUCGGAAUUACUGGGCGUAAAGUGCACGUAGGCGGAUAUUUAAGUCAGGGGUGAAAUCCCAGAGCUCAACUCUGGAACUGCCUUUGAUACUGGGUAUCUUGAGUAUGGAAGAGGUGAGUGGAAUUCCGAGUGUAGAGGUGAAAUUCGUAGAUAUUCGGAGGAACACCAGUGGCGAAGGCGGCUCACUGGUCCAUUACUGACGCUGAGGUGCGAAAGCGUGGGGAGCAAACAGGAUUAGAUACACCUGUAGUCCCUGUCUCUUAUAC
rnacentral:rRNA from 1 species